AACGAACGCUGGCGGCAUGCCUAACACAUGCAAGUCGAACGAGACCUUCGGGUCUAGUGGCGCACGGGUGCGUAACGCGUGGGAACCUGCCCUUAGGUUCGGAAUAACUCCCCGAAAGGGGUGCUAAUACCGGAUAAUGUCUUCGGACCAAAGAUUUAUCGCCUUUGGAUGGGCCCGCGUUGGAUUAACUAGUUGGUAGGGUAAAAGCCUACCAAGGCGACGAUCCAUAGCUGGUCUGAGAGGAUGAUCAGCCACACUGGGACUGAGACACGGCCCAGACUCUUACGGGAGGCAGCAGUGGGGAAUAUUGGAAAAUGGGCGAAAGCCUGAUCCAGCAAUGCCGGGUGAGUGAUGAAGGCCUUAGGGUUGUAAAGCUCUUUUACCCGGGAUGAUAAUGACAGUACCGGGAGAAUAAGCUCCGGCUAACUCCGUG
rnacentral:rRNA from 1 species